rnacentral:rRNA from 1 species
CUCGGCAACGGAUAUCUAGGCUCUCGCAUCGAUGAAGAACGUAGCAAACUGCGAUACUUGGUGUGAAUUGCAGAAUCCCGUGAACCAUCGAGUCUUUGAACGCAAGUUGCGCUUGAAGCCAUUAGGCUGAGGGCACGUCUGCCUGGGCGUCAC